GAUGAACGCUGGCGGCGUGCCUAACACAUGCAAGUCGAGCGAUUCUCUUCGGAGAAGAGCGGCGGACGGGUGAGUAACGCGUGGGUAACCUGCCCUGUACACACGGAUAACAUACCGAAAGGUAUGCUAAUACGAGAUAAUAUGCUUUUGUCGCAUGGUAGAAGUAUCAAAGCUCCGGCGGUACAGGAUGGACCCGCGUCUGAUUAGCUAGUUGGUAAGGUAACGGCUUACCAAGGCGACGAUCAGUAGCCGACCUGAGAGGGUUGUCGGCCACAUUGGAACUGAGACACGGUCCAAACUCCUACGGGGGGCAGCAGUGGGGAAUAUUGCACAAUGGGCGAAAGCCUGAUGCAGCAACGCCGCGUGAGCGAUGAAGGCCUUCGGGUCGUAAAGCUCUGUCCUCAAGGAAGAUAAUGACGGUACUUGAGGAGGAAGCCCCGGCUAACUACGUGCCAGCCGCCGCCGUAC
rnacentral:rRNA from 1 species